UAGUAGAGAUGGCUACGAGAGCAACAUUUACAUUGGAGCACCGGAUUACUGCCCACCUGAAGUCUUGACAGAACCUCGAUUCCACGCCGUCCCAGCAAAUGUCUGGUCUCUAGGAGUGUUGUUGUACAAGAUGAUGAACGGAUGUUCUCCUUUUCGCAAUAGAAGAAAAAUCACACAAGCCAAAGUUACAUUUCUGAACCCCACCUUAUCCAAAAGAAAUGACAUACUUGCUGAGAGCUCUGAGCUCGAGACUCGACCCGAAGCCUGAAGUCCAACUCCAUCCUGACAGGAACUCAGAGUCUGUCCACGUCUGAGCAAGAACACGAGAGACUGCAAGACUGGAACGAAGUCAUCAAGUCAUCACACACACAUUUGCUUUGUUUUAAAGGUCAAGACAAGUCAUCUUCUACAAACAUUUGUGAAAGAAUGUGUCGCUCUCAGGAGCUCAGUGAAUUCAAGUGUGGUACCGUGAUAGGUUGCCAACUAUUCAUGAAAUUUCCUCACUAUUAAAUAUUCCACGGUCAACU